rnacentral:rRNA from 1 species
GAUGAACGCUGGCGGCGUGCCUAAUACAUGCAAGUCGAGCGAACAGACGAGGAGCUUGCUCCUCUGACGUUAGCGGCGGACGGGUGAGUAACACGUGGAUAACCUACCCAUAAGACUGGGAUAACUUCGGGAAACCGGAGCUAAUACCGGAUAAUAUAUUGAACCGCAUGGUUCAAUAGUGAAAGACGGUUUUGCUGUCACUUAUAGAUGGAUCCGCGCCGCAUUAGCUAGUUGGUAAGGUAACGGCUUACCAAGGCGACGAUGCGUAGCCGACCUGAGAGGGUGAUCGGCCACACUGGAACUGAGACACGGUCCAGACUCCUACGGGAGGCAGCAGUAGGGAAUCUUCCGCAAUGGGCGAAAGCUUGACGGAGCAACGCCGCGUGAGUGAUGAAGGUCUUCGGAUCGUAAAACUCUGUUAUUAGGGAAGAACAAAUGUGUAAGUAACUAUGCACGUCUUGACGGUACCUAAUCAGAAAGCCACGGCUAACUACGUG